rnacentral:rRNA from 1 species
UACGGAGGAUGCAAGCGUUAUCCGGAAUGAUUGGGCGUAAAGCGUCCGCAGGUGGCUGUGUAAGUCUGCUGUUAAAGCGUCUGGCUUAACCAGAUACAAGCAGUGGAAACUACACAGCUAGAGUGCGUUCGGGGCAGAGGGAAUUCCUGGUGUAGCGGUGAAAUGCGUAGAUAUCAGGAAGAACACCGGUGGCGAAAGCGCUCUGCUAGGCCGCAACUGACACUGAGGGACGAAAGCUAGGGGAGCGAAUGGG